rnacentral:tRNA from 1 species
GCUCGGUUAGCUCAGCUGGUUAGAGCGUCGUACUAAUAUCUCCCGCUCAGGGACAUAUCAAGUUCAUGCGAAGGUCAUGAGUUCAAUCCUCAUACUGAGCA